rnacentral:rRNA from 1 species
AGAAUCAACGCUGGCGGCGUGCCUAACACAUGCAAGUCGAACGAGAAAGUGGAGCAAUCCACGAGUAAAGUGGCGCACGGGUGAGUAACACGUGACUAACCUACCCUUGAGUGGGGGAUAACCUAGGGAAACCUGGGCUAAUACCGCAUAAUACCUUCGGGUCAAAGGAGCAAUUCGCUUAAGGAGGGGUCGCGGCCGAUUAGUUAGUUGGCGGGGUAAUGGCCCACCAAGACUGUGAUCGGGUAUCC